UGCAGUCGAGCGACAGAUAAGGAGCUUGCUCCUUUGACGUUAGCGGCGGACGGGUGAGUAACACGUGGAUAACCUACCUAUAAGACUGGGAUAACUUCGGGAAACCGGAGCUAAUACCGGAUAACAUAUUGAACCGCAUGGUUCAAUAGUGAAAGGCGGCUUUGCUGUCACUUAUAGAUGGAUCCGCGCCGUAUUAGCUAGUUGGUAAGGUAACGGCUUACCAAGGCAACGAUACGUAGCCGACCUGAGAGGGUGAUCGGCCACACUGGAACUGAGACACGGUCCAGACUCCUACGGGAGGCAGCAGUAGGGAAUCUUCCGCAAUGGGCGAAAGCCUGACGGAGCAACGCCGCGUGAGUGAUGAAGGUCUUCGGAUCGUAAAACUCUGUUAUCAGGGAAGAACAAAUGUGUAAGUAACUGUGCACAUCUUGACGGUACCUGAUCAGAAAGCCACGGCUAACUACGUGCCAGCAGCCGCGGUAAUACGUAGGUGGCAAGCGUUAUCCGGAAUUAUUGGGCGUAAAGCGCGCGUAGGCGGUUUUUUAAGUCUGAUGUGAAAGCCCACGGCUCAACCGUGGAGGGUCAUUGGAAACUGGAAAACUUGAGUGCAGAAGAGGAAAGUGGAAUUCCAUGUGUAGCGGUGAAAUGCGCAGAGAUAUGGAGGAACACCAGUGGCGAAGGCGACUUUCUGGUCUGUAACUGACGCUGAUGUGCGAAAGCGUGGGGAUCAAACAGGAUUAGAUACCCUGGUAGUCCACGCCGUAAACGAUGAGUGCUAAGUGUUAGGGGGGUUUCCGCCCCUUAGUGCUGCAGCUAACGCAUUAAGCACUCCGCCUGGGGAGUACGACCGCAAGGUUGAAACUCAAAGGAAUUGACGGGGACCCGCACAAGCGGUGGAGCAUGUGGUUUAAUUCGAAGCAACGCGAAGAACCUUACCAAAUCUUGACAUCCUUUUGACCGCUCUAGAGAUAGAGUCUUCCCCUUCGGGGGACAAAGUGACAGGUGGGUGCAUGGGUUGUCGUCAGCUCGUGUCGUGAGAUGGUGGGGUUAAGUCCCGCAACGAGCGCAACCCUUAAGCUUAGUUGCCAUCAUUAAGUUGGGCACUCUAAGUUGACU
rnacentral:rRNA from 1 species